UACGUAGGGUGCAAGCGUUGUCCGGAAUUAUUGGGCGUAAAGAGCUCGUAGGCGGCCUGUCGCGUCUGCUGUGAAAACUCGGGGCUUAACCCCGGGCCUGCAGUGGGUACGGGCAGACUAGAGUGCGGUAGGGGAGACUGGAAUUCCUGGUGUAGCGGUGAAAUGCGCAGAUAUCAGGAGGAACACCGGUGGCGAAGGCGGCUCACUGGCUCAUUACUGACGCUCAGGCGCGACAGCGUGGGGAUCAAACAGG
rnacentral:rRNA from 1 species